GGCCGGGUGAGGGUGCGAGUCCAGACGGACGGGAAACGUGUGCGAGAGUGGAGGCUAGCACGAUGUGAUCAUGAGGAGAAACCAGUUGUUUCUUACUGUGGUAGGUUAAUGUCUGCACACGCAUGGCUCCUUCAUUCUUACAAAGUUGUGAAAAUUCCUAUCUUGAAUAGCACAUUUUCUACAGGUUGACCCAGGAAAUUAAUAUUCAGUGGCUGAGAGAUAGAAGUAACUUUCAUGGAUACCACAUUGUCUUCUUUGGGUGAGCAAAACAAUUGUGUAGGAACAGAAUAGUUCUGUUAUCCUCAGGUGAGUCUGUGGUUUUGAGUAUAAAUAAAAAUGGGGGAAGGAAGGUUGAGCCUGACAAAAAAGACUGUCUUUACUUUUUCACGUAUUUU